rnacentral:rRNA from 1 species
GACGAACGCUGGCGGCGUGCCUAAUACAUGCAAGUAGAACGCUGAAGGAGGAGCUUGCUUCUCUGGAUGGGUUGCGAACGGGUGAGUAACGCGUAGGUAACCUGCCUGGUAGCGGGGGAUAACUAUUGGAAACGAUAGCUAAUACCGCAUAAUAGUAGAUGUUGCAUGACAUUUGCUUAAAAGGUGCAAUUGCAUCACUACCAGAUGGACCUGCGUUGUAUUAGCUAGUUGGUGAGGUAACGGCUCACCAAGGCGACGAUACAUAGCCGACCUGAGAGGGUGAUCGGCCACACUGGGACUGAGACACGGCCCAGACUCCUACGGGAGGCAGCAGUAGGGAAUCUUCGGCAAUGGACGGAAGUCUGACCGAGCAACGCCGCGUGAGUGAAGAAGGUUUUCGGAUCGUAAAGCUCUGUUGUAAGAGAAGAACGAGUGUGAGAGUGGAAAGUUCACACUGUGACGGUAUCUUACCAGAAAGGGACGGCUAACUACGUG